rnacentral:rRNA from 1 species
CCUACGGGAGGCAGCAGUGAGGAAUAUUGGUCAAUGGGCGCGAGCCUGAACCAGCCAAGUAGCGUGAAGGAUGACUGCCCUACGGGUUGUAAACUUCUUUUAUAAAGGAAUAAAGUGAGGCACGUGUGCCUUUUUGUAUGUACUUUAUGAAUAAGGAUCGGCUAACUCCGUGCCAGCAGCCGCGGUAAUACGGAGGAUACGAACGUUAUCCGGAUUUAUUGGGGUUAAAGGGAGCGUAGAUGGGUUGUUAAGUCAGUUGUGAAAGUUUGCGGCUCAACCGUAAAAUUGCAAUUGAUACUGGCAGCCUUGAGUACAGUUGAGGUAGGCGGAAUUCGUGGUGUAGCGGUGAAAUGCUUAGAUAUCACGAAGAACUCCGAUUGCGAAGGCAGCUUACGAAACUGCCACUGACAUUGAUGCUCGAAAGUGUGGGUAUCAAACAGGAUUAGAUACCCUAGUAGUC